UGGGAUGUCGUCCAAUGGUAGGACACGAGAAUUUGGGUCUUGGUAUCAUGGUUCGAAUCCAUGCGUCCCAG
rnacentral:tRNA from 1 species